rnacentral:rRNA from 1 species
GACGAACGCUGGCGGCGUGCUUAACACAUGCAAGUCGAACGGAAAGGCCCUGCUUUUGUGGGGUGCUCGAGUGGCGAACGGGUGAGUAACACGUGAGUAACCUGCCCUUGACUUUGGGAUAACUUCAGGAAACUGGGGCUAAUACCGGAUAGGAGCUCCUGCUGCAUGGUGGGGGUUGGAAAGUUUCGGCGGUUGGGGAUGGACUCGCGGCUUAUCAGCUUGUUGGUGGGGUAGUGGCUUACCAAGGCUUUGACGGGUAGCCGGCCUGAGAGGGUGACCGGCCACAUUGGGACUGAGAUACGGCCCAGACGCCUACGGGAGGCAGCGGUGGGGAAUAUUGCACAAUGGGCGGAAGCCUGAUGCAGCAACGCCGCGUGCGGGAUGACGGCCUUCGGGUUGUAAACCGCUUUCGCCGGUGACGAAGCGUGAGUGACGGUAAUGGGUAAAGAAGCACCGGCUAACUACGUG